UACGUAGGCAGCAAGCGUUGUUCGGAGUUACUGGGCGUAAAGGGUGUGUAGGCGGUUCCCUAAGUUUGGUGUGAAAUCUCCCGGCUCAACUGGGAGGGUGCGCCGAAAACUGGGGGGCUAGAGUACUGGAUGGGAGAGUGGAAUUCCUGGUGUAGCGGUGAAAUGCGUAGAUAUCAGGAGGAACACCUGUGGUGUAGACGGCUCUCUGGACAGUAACUGACGCUGAGACACGAAAGCCAGGGGAGCAAACGGG
rnacentral:rRNA from 1 species